rnacentral:rRNA from 1 species
AUGACCCAACCAAAGAAGUAUGGGGGACUUGGCUUCAGAGAUCUCAAACUUUUUCAUCUUGCAUUCCUAGCACAGCAAGCAUGGAGGAUUCUUGUAAGUCCAGAGGCCUUGAGCUCCCGGAUACUAAAGGCGAUUCAUUUCACAAACACAUGCAUUAUUCAUGUUGAAUUGGGAUCAUGCCCAUUGCAAAUUUGUCAUGAAGUUAUGGAGGGCAGGGACAUUCUCACAGAAGGAAUUAUUCAAAGGAUCAGCGAUGGGAUCUCAACUUACGUGUGGGACCAGAAUUGGAUUAUGAGGAACUCCUCCAUGCGACCUCUAGUAUGCCUGGAUCAAAAUCAUCAUGUAUUGGUUAGUGAAUUGAUUGAUAGCACAUCUGCUUCUUGGCGCAAUGUUGUUCUUGAGAAGUUCUUCUUGCCAUCAUAUGUUCAAGAAACAAAAGAUAUUCCCUUGUGCACUAGUCUGUUGAGGACUUUUGGGCUUGGCGUUUUGAGAAAAAAGGGAUUUUUUGGUAAGAUCAGCCAUAUUAUUGGUAACCAUUAG